UUGAUUGUUCAGUACCUUGACGACAAAUUCAAAUGGAAUAAUAAACGUAGUAAUCCAUUAAAACAUGUCAUGUUACCAAUGUUUAUAUUUUAUAAUACAUAUUUCCAAUCUAAGUACUCUCUAAUUAUCAUAACCAUUAAUCACAGUCUAGGUGUUUAUUUUUCUGUGAUCGCACUCGACAUUAAAGCAAAAAGUUAAUGCUCAUAAUAAAGGAAACAAAAAAAAAUAACAAUAAUUAUUUAAAGUUGCAUGUAAAUAAGUACGGACGUGAAACGCGAAGAAUUACGUGCAUAAUUUACUUGCAUUUAGUCGCUCUUAUCGUUUGGUAACCUUGUGAUAAAGGAAAAUUAAAAAAUAUAUCGUUGAAAACACGAAUAGUAAACAGUUAUAGGUGAACAUUACGUUGUAAAUUAUUGAAUUUACUGCCACAGUAUGACUUAUUUUAAUAAUUUUUUUUUAAAUUACAUUUCAAGUUUCUCAAUAUUUUUAUUUAUUAUUUUAGUCUUGAACGAAUCAAAAAUGGAUGACAAAGGUCCAGUUCCUUAUCCAGUAGACCGUGAUAAUUAUCAGGGUCCUUAAUGACACUUAUUUAAUCAAUCAAUUUGUAUAUUUAUUGGUAAAUUAAAGGGGUUAAAUAAUUUAAAAAAUAUUUAAUUUAAAACACUUGUGUAUGAAUAAAAACUUACGUGCGCUAGCAUUGCGGGAUAAUCUUGGGAAUAGAGUACAAAAGCACCAAUGAGAUGGGUAACGGAGAAAAUAACACCAGCAAUGCAGGCAUGACGUAGUCGAAUUGGCAAAAGAGCGUAGGCCAUGUAGAUAAAAAAACAAACAGACCAAGCUGCCGCGAGUGGUCCACCUGUACGUAAAUGGUCGAUUCUCGUCAUUGACAUUGUGCUGGCUGUUGAGUCAGAGCUUAACAUGUCUCUCAUGAUCAUAUCCUCGGGAUUCAUAGUGGCUAUUUUAUCGUCCCAAUUUGGUAAAUAGGCCAGAUGAAUAUUUAGUGUAAUUUGUAGUCCUAGUAAUGUUACUAGUACUGCUC